ensembl:lncRNA
AGGCCAUGAGGAAUGAUUAGGGAUGCAUCAGAGGAGUGAUGUAAUCGGCUGUAUGGUAUAAGAAGAUAAGCACUUCCUGUAGGAUAAAUCAGAGGACACCAAGACUGGAAGGAGAAAUGGGCACAUGAUGCCAUCCCAGCCGAUGAAAUGUGAGGACAUUAUGUUUGAGGAUGUAAGCUUGAAGCUGCUUUGGAAUAUCAGAAACUAGCCUAAGGACAAACACCAACAUUCUGAAGACGGCAGAGCAAAAGAUGGAAAGAAGGAUCUCAUGUCUUGACAUUUUUAGAAUGAGCAUUGAGAGAUAGCUAAGUGAAAGGACCACAGAAGCAAGAACUUGAGAAGAUUAGCCCUGAGCUAACGUCCGUCACCAAUCCUCUUCUUUUUGCUGAGGAAGACUGGGCCUGAGCUAACAUCCAUGCCCAUCUUCCUCUACUCCAUAUGUGGGUUGCCUACCACAGCAUGGUUUUUGCCAAGCAGUGCCGUGUCCGCACCUGGGAUCCAAACCGGUGAACCCCGGGCCACCAAGAAGCGGAACGUGGGAACCUAACUGCUACGCCACCAGGCCGGCCCCCUACAAUAAUCUUGAUACAGAAGUACUGGGCCUGCAAUCAGACAGAUGGGGCCUACCAGCCUACUUGUUUUUUCUGCCACAUGUGCCACAACUGGUAGGCCGAUCAGAAUCAAAGGCAGAGCCCUGAAAUUCAGAUUUUGUUUCCUGAACCAUAUUUACCUCUCAGGCUUCUGCCAGGUCUUUACAUUUUAUAAGGCAAAAAUUGAAAGUUUCUGGCACACUCAGACAUGGGACCAGAAGACAAUAAAGCUAUUCAUCACUUUUGGCAUGAAUCUGUCUGUUCUUAGAAGAAUCUUAAAUUGUCAUUGACUUUAAGACAUUUUCAGCUUAAAAACCCUACAUCUAUGUAAGUCCAUGUGUUCUUUGUGUACUUUUGUGUUCUAUUCCAAACUCAGCCACAAAAGUAAACUUUUGGUAAAAAUGGUUCAGGUUCAGCAAAAUACCAAAUAGGAUUUGCCAAAAGUUAUUCUCCCUUAUAUUUUAAACCGCUGUGCAUUGUGGGGAAAACACAAUCCACUUGUCUCUAAUUCAUUUAUACUUAAUAAAGUAGAAAGUAAUAAAGUGAAAUAUUUUAUUAGUUGUCCACUGUCCGAACGGCCUUUUGAGAUUCUUGUAUAGUUUUCUUUUCUCUUGUCUUCCCUGUCUACGCUGACCUCAACUAAAAGACAUUUUCUAACUAGUGAUGCUUAAAUAGUAAAAGACUCCUUUCACUUUGAAACCUAGUAAAAUAUGCACCCUUGUUUCUCAUUUUUUAUCAAAGUAUUUAUGACCUGAUCAUUUGAAUGUAAUUUUCAAACACUUAACAAAGAUCUUACUGAAUUGUAUGGUUUUCUUUUGACGUUAAAACAGGGAGAAAAAGAACUCUAAGUAUGUUAAAACACUUCCAAGUUUUCCAGUUUGUUUCAGAAGAAAGGUUAAAUAAUUGCUAUCUUGUUCUUUUCACUAUUUGAUCCUACUUUAGAUAAUUUAAUAUAAAUGAACAUUUUAAGUUAAAACAUUUUUUGGAAGCAGCAUCCAAACCAUGAUGUGUCUUUUCCCGUAUCAAAUAUUCAUAUAUGUGAUUUGAUAUGGAAGAGUUGGCUUUUCCUGACCACUCCUCCCACCACAAUCAAACACACCCAAUCCCUAUUAUCCAUAUCUGAUUUCCUUUUGAAAAUAAUGUAAUACAUCUGCUGUAAUCCUGGGGAGAUGUGGGGGAGACGUAAAUUCUGAUAAAAGUCAGACAUGUUGAUGACAGUCUGCAGCCCGAUACACUUGAAAAUACUGUGCAAGAUGCAAAGGAAAUUUCGUGAAAUGAUAACCCAUGGAAGAGCACUAUAUGUGAAGAGCAUCCAGGGAGCUACAGAGUCAGAGUGCUACAGCAUGAGGAUAGAGACUGUUUUCCAGAGAAGUAAAUUCCCUAACUUCAAUCCCUAUGUCAAACGGACUGAUCCAUGUCAGAAACAUUUUCUCUCUAAACUGAAUCUCUCAUACUGUUAUUAAAUUCUUUUAUUUCAUCAAGUCCUCUGUAAACAUUCAAUCGGCUGGAUUCCAAACUCUCCUGUAGUAAUGUAUUUUGUUCUUGAAAACUGUUAAUAAACCUUAGGACCUUAGAAAGGGUGUAUAGAAAUGAGACAUUGAGAACCACUUCAUAAUGGAAUCUACUAGAGAGCAAAGCACAGCUUAUUGGGUAAUUACAUGGAUGCUGGAGGCAGGUGGCAUGGGUUUAAAACUUUACUCUGGUAUUUUCUACACAUUCUCUUUGGGUAAGUUACCUAAGCUCUCUGUGCCUCAGUUUACUCAAAUAAAAAGACUAUAAAUAGUCCUUACUUGAUAUAGUUGUUGUAGAAUUUAAUAAAUUAAUUCCUAUAAAGCAAAUAUAUCUCCUUCACAACCAGCUCAUCUCUCAUCUAUUGCACUCUCUAUUACCUUUCCAGAGCCCAACGCCUACUUCUUUGUCAACAUUUGCCCAACAAAAUCUUCAAAACCAAGCUACAUAUCUACCUGCUCCUGGAAGAGCUCUGAGAUUAAUCCAAUUUAGCUCCAGUGUCUCCCACUCAGUCUUACCUCAGGACUCCAGUAGUGAAUAAACUAUUGUUAUAGGAAUUUAUUGUUCUGAAAUCAUUUCAUCCCACUUUAUAUGUCUGAUUUUUCUCUCUCCAAUGAGAAAGCCAGCUCUUGAGAGUAGAAAUAUUUUAUAUCUCUUUCAUUACUUGCUCCACUCUACCUCUUUAUCUAUACCACAUAUACAUACCGCAAUAUUCAAAAUAAUUUCUUUAGUUCAUUCAUUUCUUAAGAAAAUGUCACUAAAAGAGUUUAUUUCUUAACUUAAACAAAUUU